GAGGAAGUACACUAAACCCCCCCCCCCCCGACCUCUGGCACCACCUGAUGCCCACCGCCCUUGCUCAUGAGCGUCUCUGCAGGGCUUCCAUGGAACGCCGACGGGUUCCACACUGAAAAGCAGGAAGACCAGGAAAAUGCGGGCAACGUUUCAACGGUUGAGCCUUCUGCUGGUGCAUCACAGCGGUUGUGUAUCAGCGAACCAGUCCCCAAGCCUCUUAAAAGCAUCUGGCACUUAUCUCCUAGUGUCCUCCUUCAACGUUCACUUUCCCCUUACCUCUGACUGCCACCUGCCACCCCCACCCCACCCCCAGCUCUCUGAUGCGCGGGAGGAGGGGGAGCCCCAGGCCCUGACAGAGAAGGGGGAGCGAUGGCCCAGCAGAAGUUUAGCUCAUAUGCAAUGUGCAUGGCUCCACGCUGAAACCAGCAUCUCAUUAUCGGCUGUGUGCUCUCUGCUAGACCGGACUGGGAGUUGCUCGCCUAUCUGUCUUGAAAUGCCCCGGACAUGCAUUGCUCUUCAAGACUGGAGAGGUCAGUAGUGGUUAGGGGUCUGGACCCAUCACUAGGAGGGUCAAAUUGAUGGGUCGGCCCCAGGUGAGGCAGUGCUGCUGUGCCCUUGAGCAAGUACACUCUUCACUCGGAUUGCUGGACCCAAGUGCUUGCUGUAUCAAUGGUUACAAACGUAAACUGCACUGGGGGGAGGAAGACAUCAGGCAAACAAUAAGAGCAAUUAAAAAAAUCACUCUGCUCCAGCGUGUGCAGGGCACGCAGGAGUCGUUUUUUUUUUAAUUUUCAAGAUGGCAAUCAAUCCACAUUCAAGCGAAAAAAAGAAGCAGCAAAAGAAAUCUAUCACCGUUUGGCCUCGGAGAACAGGGUGCAAUUCUCAAUAAGGUGCAAUUAUAACUUGAAAAGGUUCGUUUGAAGUCAGAGGCACAAGGAGACAUGCUGUUAAUUUGCUGCUGUAAUUAAAUGCACUGGUUAGAAUUCAAUGCCUGCCAUUCACAUGAGACGCCAUCCCAAUCAAUCUUUCAUGAUUUCCAGAAGUGCCUUUAUUAAGAAAAAGAAAGAGUCAUGCCAGGGGAUGCCUGUUCCCCGGGGACUGGGUCCUGCUGUCUGGCAGCUUGUCUAGAGGUGUGCCAGGCACAUCUGAUGAGCCGAGGAAGAUCUCCUGUCUCCUGGCCUGGGAAUCGGGGAGGCACGACCACAGUCCCUCUCUGCCGCCAGUCUUAAGGCUCAUCCAGGGGUUUCCGAGCGAGACCAUAACAACACGCGCAGAGCAGCCUGCUUAGCGUAACGCGCCGUGCCGUGCCGCGCCGCUCACUUCCUGGGAUCAGGGAAAUGGGGGCGAGAGCUGUGAACGUCGGGAUUCGUCUCGGAAAGGUGCAGGUGGGGAAGAGGGGAGUGCGCUUGUGCUGUUGUCAUUCACGGUCAAGUGGUAAGAAGAGCUGUCUGUGGGAAGCAAAGAAAUGGGAGCAAAUAACAAGGCACCACAGGCGGCUCUUGCAGAAGAGUGCAGCCGAUCGGGCCCUGGCUGGCCGUUUUGUGUGUGCGUGCGUUGUUCAAGCAGGCCUCUGGGCCAGAAAGCAGGAAGCCCUUUGGGAAAUUGAACACUGAACCUCCCCUGCUGAGGUCCUCCCCUCAUCCUGACCCCAUUUGCCUCCCAGACAGAACGAUCAGGGCUCUUUCGCAGCCGGGGCCACAGAUGCUGGUGCUUAAUGAAGAGAGAGAUGGGAUUAAAGCGAAUUCUGCUUCGCGUCCGUGACAUUCGGCUCUCCCCCCCCCGUCAGGACGGCGGGCUUCCCAGUCGUGCACGCAGGCUGAGGUGCGAGACCGGGAGCCGACUCUUUUAAGAGGGAUUUCCAGUGAACGAACACAAAUAAAAACAGGGUUCAUCUUCCGAACGGCAUCCCCUGCACACAAGCUCAUGAAUGCAAAUGCCAAAGAGUCAGGCGUGCUUUAGCAGUCAGCGCAUGCACUCGGCAGAAUUCAUUUGUUCGAACGGUCAGUCUGAGAUUCGUCUGUGCCUGCUCAUACUGCACCAGCACCACAAUGUCACAUUCUUACAAGAGCCCUGUAUAAAGAAGGCAGGUGUUUACAGCCCCGGAUGAAAUAAAUCAGUUCGGUUCUCCGGACUGUUUUACACUUAGCGAAACCAUCUGGAAUAAAGGCAGUAACUGAGGCUUUUUAAUGCUACAAGCCCUGGAAGCUGCCAGACAGAUCUAGAUAGUGAAACACAAGGAAAUAGGUAGGAAAUAAACCUGGGGUCAUUAGUAUGGAUUCUGCAUUCCACAAGGGCACUAAGUACUUCAUUUAUACUGCAUGUAAUCGAUAGAAUUUUAUGAUUGUAAUGAUAGAGGCCAGUUGUGAGAACAGCUGCCUCAGUAGGAUAGGAAGCCUGUUCUCAGGCUCUCUGAGUUUUUCUGUCAGGUUCUCUCCCAUGACUUCCUUUCCUUUAUUUUCCUGGAGGUUUUUUUCCUUCCUUUUUCUUUGCCUUAGCAACUCCGAGAGCCCCCAGCUUGAAAUCCCAUGCCAUUUGCUUCAUCCCUGAGCAAAUAUCAGAGCCAUGCAGCAGACUAAUUACAAUGCGUUUCAAUGUAAAAAUGUGAUGCCUGCUGCACUGGGACCUAGCCAUGUGUGUCUGUAUACCGGGAAAGGUGAAGCUAAUCAGAAGAAUAAAUGUCACAUUAUAGUGUCGGAAGUGGGCUCUUCCACAAAAGACCAACUGAUCCAGGGCAAUUUAACCAUCCAGAGAGAGGAGUCCCAUCACCUUAAGGCACAGGACUCUACAAUUAAUCCAUUUAUUAACCUUUAUAAUAUUGCCUUCCCAGCAGGCAGAAAUGGGAGCCUGCAUUUUUCAACCAAUACGUCUUGCCUCCUGUGGCUUUUCACAGGUUUAAUUGCAUUACAAGAGAAAUGCAAAGACCUAAUAUCGAUAUUCAGAUCUGUAAUUGCGCUAAUGCAUGGUAAUUUUUUAUCUUAUAUUGCAUCUGCAGAGCAAAAUUGGGAACUUAAAUGUUUGCUGGGUUUGCAGAGACGCAGUUAAAAUACAAUAAGGAAGUGAUUUUGAAUACCGCUUCAGGGCCCGGCUCCGAGCGCAUUUCAGUGCAAGUUUUUUCUGCCCACACAUGCUGGCCUGGGUGAUCGAUAUCGGAAAGAUGGAACAGUGAGGCAUUCGCAGGAUGGAGGGCUCAGAUACUCUACAAUGCCUCCCCUUUUCCAACAAAAUUCUCUCCUUCUUAUUUUCAAUGAAAAGGGUCCAUGGUGAAUAUUGUCGAGCAAGUAAUCUCAAGACUUGCUCAAGGUCUCAACGCUCUAAGCGUUAUUUGAAGAUGCACUAGUGAAAUGAACUGGCGGGACAGAUGCAGGUUUGAGAGUGGAAGAGUAAGGGAGAGCUCUGAAGACUUGGGACCUUCAAUGUGAGUUAAAGGAAUGUGAAACAUUUUACUCUCUUCCCCUGAAUGAACAACACGAUUAACACUUUACUAUCCCUGUAUGGAAAUUCCCAUGCUGGCGUCAGCAGAGUCAGGCUCCAAGUGUCCAUCUUGGCAAUGUUAGCAGGUUGUGUUGUUGUGUAGUUGGUGUUGUGGAUCACGCAUUCUGGUCUCACGGUUUGCCACGGGCGAAAGUCUGAAUCUCACCCAACAGCAUGCUCUUUUAAUUCCCCACGUUAUCGAUCUGUAAACUGAUGAAUUCUGUUCCACAAAAUGGGGCCUAGAUCUGGAAUCCACUGGGAUCCAGCACAAAUUAAGUCAUGCACAUGUAUAUACAUGCACAGUGUUUGUUCAGAUAAAUGUGGUCAAUUUAGCCUAAGUGGAAAAAGGCUAAUAUGGCCUCAUGUGUCAAUAGGCUCACUAGUACUCCUUCCCCUCUUAGCAACACUGUCCAAAAGGGUCCAGGUGUCGGUACAACCCCCCCUUCCCCCUUCCCCAGAAUAGCACAAUUCCCUCCUCACCUCCUGCCCUCACCUGCUCCCCUGUCCUGUCCCCGUGACAACAGGCUCAGCUCAGCAGUCUGGCCCUGAGGGCAGUGAGGCUCUGGCAGGGCAAGGGGAUUAUGGGAGUUUCCCCAUCCAAGACAAGGUCAGUGACGGUCUGUGCUGAUGCAUGAAAGAGUGUCGGGCGAUUGGCAAGUGUGCAGAGCAAAUGUUAACAAACCUGGUCACCAGGACACACUUCAACAUACAGGUAGACUGUCCCAUGUUGCCAAGUGCUCAAGUCUGUUCUGUUCCCUGUGAGUUUUUGACCCUGACAUUUUUUCUAGGUUGUCAAACAGCACUUAGAACACUGGCUUCAACAUUUUUUUGGCCUCUUUGAUCCAUUUUUUCUAGAUCCCUUGAAAUAAGGGCCCCUGAUUCAACGCAAAAGUCAUAUUCUCUAAGAAUUAUAAAUAAAGCUAGUGUUAACUCACAAAAUAUUAAAAGCAGGAACACGGGCUAACUGAACUGCUUUAAAUGGUCUCAGAGCAGUACUAGACUUGCUACACAUUGCUAGACACGCGGUGAAACAAUGUCUUCACCACCAAAAUUGCACUUCGGUUUUCAGGGAACCCAAGAGGUCCCCAGAUCCUUGGAUGAACGUGCCCAUUUUACAACAAACACCUCUGUGUGCAGCUGCAGGAAAUUAGAAAGGUUACAAACAAGAGGAGGUUCAAGGCCCAUUUGUCCCGUUUGGUAAUUAGCAGUUAAUUGAUCCCAGGAUCACAUCCAGCUGUUUCUUGAAAGAUGCCAGGGGACCAGCUCCCACACCGUGGCUGACCACCUUGUCCUAAACUCCCACCACCCUCUGGGUAAACAACGGUCUCUUGUCCUUGGUUUUAUGUGCAUUUGCAUGCAGUUUCCACUUUUGUCCACUUGUUUGUGUUUCACUGUCCACUGGGUUGACGGCGUCAGUGUCUUUGAGAAUUUGAAUGCAUAUCGGAUUCCCUUAGUCUUCUCCAUUCAAGACUAAAAAAGUUCUAUUCCUCCAGUCUGUCAGUAUAUGACAGCCCCUUAAGAGUCAAGUCUGGUACAUGUGCAUAGUCUAGCCUGGUCUCAUUAGGUGAAUUGCCCACAAAUUCUCUUUGUGUUCCUUCACAAGAAAAACUAAAGGUGUUAUUUAAUCGAAGUCUGAAUUUCUUACACUUCUGCUGUCCUGAGUAUAGAUUCCUGCCAGCUGCCCACAGCUCUGUGCUCACUUUCUCUAGCUUUCCUCCCUCCACCCCAACUUCACCCAGGUAGCUGCCUCCCCAUUUCAUUCCUCGUAAGUCAGAGGAGUUGAGACAAUGCUGACUGAAGGCUGAGUUAACGCUAGAGUAUUACGUACACUUUUGCUCUACAUUCAUCUGCUGGUUUCGUCUCAAUCAGGACUUGUCCACACUAGUGAAAGGCAGUUUGGAGAGCACUUUUUGGAAGCAGAUGGAAGCACCUCCACCCAGAGCACAGUUGAGCCCCUUGUAAAAAGCACACUCAUUGUAGGCAGAUCCCACUGCUCAUUCCUCCAUUCUGAAAGCAUUGAGCAGGCCACCACAUCUCACACCAGUCUCCGUGAUGCCAAGUCAGGAACUGGUCAGUUUUCCUGUCCUCAAGUCGGGAACAGCGAUGCACAUGUCCUCUUGAUGCAGAGUCACACUUUACCUAGAGGAGAACAAAGAGAGCUAUGACCUACUUCCUGUGUUGCUAUGCAAGUGUUUCGGUGUCAGUAAAGUUACCAGCCCACUGCAUGCUUGGCUAAUUAGAAGGUACUGCACCCUAAUCGAUCAUGUUCGUCGAGUAAAUAUUACAUCUAAUUUGCCAGCUUCCCUUUAACUUCUUAUUGACUAGGAGCGGUGCAAUUGCAGUGUCUCAGACUUGUUAUUGCUCCCUCAGUAAAUCUGCGGUCCUGGAUCAGUUGCUUCCUGUCGCCACAGGGGUGUAACACUGCAGAGCUGCAACAGCAGGGAAAGGUCUCCCCAUCAAUCUGCUUCAGGUGCCUUAUUAGUUGUCUGUCUGCAUCAUGUUCUGAUAAUUGGCACAGGAGCUGCAAUAGAUCUGCGUGCUACAUGAGCCCCCAGGACUGGGUUGCAGGUAGUGUCCCCCACUGCCAGGCUCUUGUUUGAAUUUCAACCAGUCUUUUAUUUAUCGUGCCCUCCCACACCCUUCCCCCCAUAAAACAAAAAUCCCGUUCUGUUUGGGUCCAGGAAUGUGCCUGAAAUUGACCCCUUUAAACAUCAACCACAUUCAUCAGGUGCGCAGUCCUCUGUCUCUUACUGUUCUUCUUCUGUCUCCUUGAUUUAUGUAAUCACCGCGGAUAAAACACAAACACGAAAAUAACACGCACACGCUGACAAAAACUUUGCACUGGGGUCAUUGUUUGUUUUCUUCCCUCACGGGACACGUGGCUGUGGAAUGUCUUCCCGGAUGGGGAACGCUGCUCUCUUCCUCGAGCGGGGAGCCGGGGGGGCGUGGCCGGGCGGCGUGGACAGACCCGGGGCCGGCGGACGUCCUGCAGGGUCCCGACUGGCCGAGGCAGAAGCAGCUGAGCGAGCCGAUCGGAGGAGGAGGAGGAGGAGGAGGGCUGUCGCGGAGGGGUGGAGGAAAAGGAGUAGAUAGACGGAAGGGUUUGAACCGGAGCCAGCCAGCGGAGAGGUCUGAGCUGAAUGGCGAUGUGCCGGAUGGGUGUGACAUCCAGACUGGAUGGAAGAGGUUAAGGUUCCUAAUCAAUCUUACGAUCGUGCCUGUCACCUUCAGGAGUCAGGGGAUCGCUCUCCUGGCCUGGCGCACAGAAAACAGAUAAUCAGUUUCAGAGGACAGGCGGCUUGCAGAAGAUAAGGGGCAGUAGGUUCUGUGAUGCUUCCUCUUGGAGAUGGCAGAGAUAGUGACCGCCAGUAUCAGGCCCCCAGAGCUCGCUUGACCACACUGCCCUCCUGGAAGCUGGGCACUAUGAGUCGGAGCACCCAGCUCCGAGCGUCCAGUCUCGAUCUGACAUUACCUGCAUAGUCAUGUCAUUUUUCAUAACGUUUAAAAAAAAAUGAAAAAUAGCGAUCUCCUUUUUUCCCCCUAGCCUAAGAUGGCAAACCUCUGCUAACCCAGCACCCCAGAUCUUGGAAACAAAGACUCUCCUACCGCUGAAGAUGCAAGCGUUCAGUCAUUUCUGCUAAUCUAGGAAUCGGAGAUUUCGGGGCGCUGUGCGUAGGGACUGGCCAAUCGUUGGUGCUUUGCCUUGCUCUUUGACCUGGUGCUGGCUGUGUUCUGUGUAACUGAAUAUCUGGAACCUCCAGGAAGGCGUGUGGAGGCAAGGAGCAAGCAUGUGUGAGACAAGGCCUGAGAGCAGAGCACACCCAAAGAAAGAGAAUGGCACGUCUCUCCCGGAGGCAGCGUCUUCAUCAGAACCCUGUUGAAUUCCCUGGCUCCAAGGAGGACCAGGCGACGAUACUGGUCUACUGUAGAAAGUUACAAUUUGUUCACUGCAGUUUUACAUUCUUCCCUCCUGGGAAAGGAAUAAUCAAUUUCUCAAAGAAAUAGUGAUCACGUUGAUAAACUCGGUAAACUCAGUAAGGCGAGCCUUACAGUAAAUAAGUGUUAAUAAACCAAUCAGUGAUGAGACCCUAUGCAGUGUUUUCAGAUUUCUUCAGAAACAUUUUAUUUUCUUUCAAAAGAG